AUGGAGCUCUUCCCUUCCCAGCCGGAUCUAUCCCUCCAGAUCGGUCUCCCCGCGAGUGCACACGGCCACGAUCACCAUCGCGCCAUGGGCGGGAGGUUCUUCGGCCCCCCGAGUAGCGGCAACAUAGGCGGGGACCCGGCCAUGGCGGCGUCGUUGCAGCUUCCGUUUCCCAUGUCACCUAUGCCUCUGCCACCCCACCACGCCGGCGCGCCGGGGCACGGCGGUCUGUACUACCAUCACCACCCCGUCCCCGACGGCGCCAUGCUGCGGCCCAUACGGGGCGUGCCGCUCUACCCGACGCCGUUCCCGCCCCCGCCUCCGCACGGCGGCCCCUCAGCCCCGGCCACCGCACCGUGUUACUGCGACCCGUGCCACGUCGCCGGCGCCUGGCGCCGCGGCGUCGGUGGGUGUGGCGCGCGCCUCGUCGGCUUCCCGGCGCCGAAGCGCGCCGCACGCGCGCCUCGCAUGCGGUGGACGUCCUCGCUCCACUCCCGCUUUGUCCACGCCGUGGAGCUUCUCGGCGGCCACGAGAGGGCGACGCCGAAGUCAGUUCUUGAACUCAUGGAUGUGAAGGAUCUCACCCUAGCUCAUGUGAAAUCUCACUUGCAGAUGUACAGGACUGUGAAGAAUACCGAAAGGCCGGCAGCUUCGUCAGAUCAGGCUGACGGCUUCGAGAACGGGUCGGCUGGCGAGAUUUGCGACGACAACUUGCUUGAUCUGCGAGGCGGCGGUAGGCCGGAGGCACUGGCAGCGGCCACACGGAAUGGAAGGUUAGCUGCAAAUGAUGAUGACAGGAGCAUCGGCGCCGGUGCCACUCAUGGUGGUGCCCUGUGGAAUAGCUCCUCAAGGGAGGAGGAUUGGUCAGGCUUUCCUUGUGAUUCCAACAACGAAAGCAUGCAAUCUUUCAAGGAUCAUAUGCAGUCAAAGAGCCUAGAGAUCCUAUCAGACAUCAACUCCUGCCUGUCAGAGACGACGUCCAGCGCAAGCGCGCCGAACCUUGACUUCACCCUAGGGCGGCCGCACCAACGCCGGAGCUGA
rnacentral:rRNA from 1 species